UACGUAGGGUGCGAGCGUUGUCCGGAAUUCCUGGGCGUAAAGAGCUCGUAGGUGGUUUGUCGCGUUGUUCGUGAAAUCUCACGGCUUAACUGUGAGCGUGCGGGCGAUACGGGCAGACCGGAGUACUGCAGGGGAGACUGGAAUUCCUGGUGUAGCGGUGGAAUGCGCAGAUAUCAGGAGGAACACCGGUGGCGAAGGCGGGUCUCUGGGCAGUAACUGACGCUGAGGAGCGAAAGCGUGGGGAGCGAACAGG
rnacentral:rRNA from 1 species